UACGUAUGGGGCAAGCGUUAUCCGGAUUUACUGGGUGUAAAGGGAGCGCAGGCGGCCUGGCAAGCCUGAUGUGAAAUACCGGGGCCCAACCCCGGGGCUGCAUUGGGAACUGCCAGGCUGGAGUGCCGGAGAGGCAGGCGGAAUUCCUAGUGUAGCGGUGAAAUGCGUAGAUAUUAGGAGGAACACCAGUGGCGAAGGCGGCCUGCUGGACAGCAACUGACGCUGAGGCGCGAAAGCGUGGGGAGCAAACAGG
rnacentral:rRNA from 1 species